rnacentral:tRNA from 2 species
CCUUCGAUAGCUCAGUUGGUAGAGCGGAGGACUGUAGCGGGUAACACAGAGAUCCUUAGGUCGCUGGUUCGAAUCCGGCUCGAAGGA